rnacentral:rRNA from 2 species
CCUACGGGAGGCAGCAGUGGGGAAUAUUGGACAAUGGGCGCAAGCCUGAUCCAGCCAUGCCGCGUGUGUGAAGAAGGCCUUCGGGUUGUAAAGCACUUUUGUUGGGAAAGAAAAGCGGUCGGUUAAUACCCGGUCGUUCUGACGGUACCCAAAGAAUAAGCACCGGCUAACUUCGUGCCAGCAGCCGCGGUAAUACGAAGGGUGCAAGCGUUACUCGGAAUUACUGGGCGUAAAGCGUGCGUAGGUGGUUUGUUAAGUCAGAUGUGAAAGCCCCGGGCUCAACCUGGGAAUUGCAUUUGAUACUGGCAGACUAGAGUGCGGUAGAGGAGAGUGGAAUUCCCGGUGUAGCAGUGAAAUGCGUAGAGAUCGGGAGGAACAUCAGUUGCGAAGGCGGCUCUCUGGACCAGCACUGACACUGAGGCACGAAAGCGUGGGGAGCAAACAGGAUUAGAUACCCUGGUAGUCCACGCCCUAAACGAUGCGAACUGGACGUUGGGAUCAAUUGAGAUUUCAGUGUCGAAGCUAACGCGUUAAGUUCGCCGCCUGGGGAGUACGGUCGCAAGACUGAAACUCAAAGGAAUUGACGG